ensembl:lncRNA
AUGGAACCCUCCUGGACUCCGUUCUUAUCCAACAUGACAGGUUAUUGUGGUCCUCGUUGGCUUGCAGUUCCUCCUCAUCAUGGCCCCAUCAGGUUGGCUGGCAGUGUCAGUGAGUUGGCACGUGCAGCUCAGUCUGAAGUUCUUGGCUUGAGACGUCAGCACUCCGCUCUUAUAAAACCCAGUGUGAUGCUGAGCACUGGAGGCUUUGGGGAGGAGAAUGGACAUCACUGUCGUCUGCGGAGUUCUCCUGUUCUUGUGAAGUCUGCAGGUCCUGGCACAGCAGGUGUGUGAAAGAGGAAAACGCUGAUAAGGAUGGGGGAAGUGUUUCAAGUGGGAUGCUGAUGGCAGGGGUAAGGGAGAUGUGUUUGUGCUGGCAGUGAAAUGUCUAUCCGUGAGUGAUGUCACAGUGCAAUUGCACUGGCAGGCAGAGAGAUGUGAAGGUUCGGAACGUCUCAGGAGAAAGAACAGUGUGACCUGUGGUAUCUUCUGUCUCUAGAGAUGAGCGACUGUAGCAAACUGCCAUGUCUCUCAGACAGCCCAGCCCUGGUGGUAGGAGGACGAAGAUCCCCAUCAAAUGCAGCUUUGGCAAUAUUAUGGCUGAGGUUCCCAGAAAAAUGGCUGUUGGAUAGAGAGACUCCAGCAUAAGAAGUGAUGUAGCUAGACUGGGAUUCUUCUAACUGGAGGAGAGUUGAGGGGGCAGACUGUGAGCAAAGAAACUGUUGAAACAGGGUGGCCUGAAGGACAGACAAACAGGAAGACAGAAGCACCAGCUGGAAUUGUGAGGCAGAUUUCAGUCCAACUCCAAACCUUCCUCAUCAAGUACUGCAAUUAUUCUCUGAAGCUGCUUGUUGCAGUUUGCUAUCUACUGAAAGUUAAGCUGAACUGAAGAAGCAGAGUGGGUACAUUCAGAGAAGGAAAAUCUCUUCAGGGUUUCUAAACUGAAAGACCAAGCAUCUGAGUGAUUAAAUACCCGCUUUUGGCUCCUGCUGGAAAUGGGGUGUAGAACAAGGAGAUCUGAUCUGUUGCUCUACUUGCUGUUACCUAAUGCACCUAAUGAGUGAUCUCUAAUGGAGAAAAGAAAUUAAACAGCACCCUUUUUGAAACUCUUACUUCUUGAAGUUUGAUAAUUUCAUGUUUCAUAGGCCACGUUAUCUCCAGUGGUAAGCAGAACUGGAACCUGGGAUGCAAUCUGUUCUGAAAGAGUAAUUCUUUGAGCUCAUUUGUGACUCGUGUGUUUCAUGAUUCAUCUCAGCAGAAAGAAGAGAGAGAACUUCCUCUCCAUAGGAUAAUGUUUUAGUUUGGGAGCAUUAUGGAGCAGAAUACCUAGCUCUUGUUCCAGAAGUGCCUCAGGAAAACUGCUGUACUUGUAGUAGCAGUUAGUAACUACUCCUUAGUUGUGAGGUCUAGAAUCAAGCUGGGCAGUGACAUGCUGCAGGCUUACGUAGUAAAAGAUACUCACUGCAGGGGGCAAAAACUUGGAGUUAAUAGCAAGUGGUUGGUGAGAUUGGCAGUGAAAUUCAGGAGGUGAAAGCUGUCCUUAAGCUGUUCAAUGCUUCACUAGGAGUUGUUGCAGGGAAACAGCACAGGAAUUACAAAGCAGUCUUUAGUUGAGUCUAUAGCAUGCUUUGAGUUUGUGAGACAGUGUUCAUUUGAGAUCAUAAUGCUGUAACUUACAGUUCAACUUUCCAGACUAAGUUUUACAUUAAAAAGUCAAUGCUAAAUGGAGGAAUACCAUUUUAUGAAUAAUAAACUAUUUUUUAAUCUUGGUUAGACUGCA